rnacentral:tRNA from 1 species
GGCUUCAUAGCUCAGUUGAUUAGAGCGUAGCACCAACAUCGCGAGGUCACGGGUUCAAAUCCCGUUGAAGUCC